CAGCAUGCUGCUGCGCUGUCCCGCAGUGCUACCAUAUUUUUAGUUCCUGUAUGGGCAGUAAAUACCUGCUUAUUUGACAGAUCUUCACCCUUCCUCUAAACUAAUGUCAUCUGCUUCCUCCACUCUCUUUCAAUGCAUCCUGCCACUAUACUAAAAAAAAUGGCCUCAAUCAGGUUGCCCUUGAACACUCACAGUGCACACUGCAAAUCCCCCCUUUUAUUGUCUGGCCAUCCAUAGCCCCUGUGGGAUUCCAUAUCAACAGGGCCUUUUGCAAAAGACAAAAAGGUACCUCCUGCAAAGGAUAGCACAGGUUUUUGUUCCGUCUGAGCGAGACACUCUGCUUCACUGCUGUCAAAGCACCAAAAACCUUAAGACACAGAUCUCCCCCUUUUCACUGCCUGUCGGUGUCAUAUGAGGUCACUCCUCACAAAGUGAUAUUUCCCCUUGGUUCCUCCUCGCAAACCAGACCAACCGUGAGCUUUUUAGUCGUAGUUCUGACUGCAGCUGAUCUACAGUACAAAUUCUGCUGCAGAUUUAAAAUACCAUAAUUAUGGACCUUGUGAUGGUGACGGCCAUUAACUGGCUAUAAUGAUUGAAGUCUGGUUUUAUGUAACUCAAAAACUACUCACCUUUAUGCAUGUGACUCUUUGCAUAUGUUUGUGUUCUUCGUAGCAGAACCAUUUCACAGAUUUCAGUAGGAGUAUGAAUACUGAGACUGACCAGCGCCAUUGGAUGCAAACACAAGAAAUACUACAGCUUCCAGUUAGAGUAUGGAAUAGUCUUCAUGUUAGUGUAGUGCCAGCUAAAACCUGGGGUUCUUUUAAAUCAGAGCUAGAUAAGAUUUUAACAGCUUCACGCUAUUAAUUGAGUUCUCCUCAAACGAGCUUGAUGAUUCUUAUUUUCUUAUGAGUACUAUUGAUAAUAUUUUCUUUCCAACAGAUUCCUGGCUAUCAUAUGCAGGUCCCGAACACAGUGACAUGCGUUUAAUGUCAGCUGAGAGAUGUCUCUAGACUGCAUGCAAACCAGGCUGACACGUACCCCAGCACUCAACGUACUGGCGCCUUUCCCAGUGCAUCAAGCUAACGUCCUGCACCAGAGGGUGGUUCCUCUGCAGACACUCUUGGAGAUAGAGGCCUUCAGCUAAGACCUGGCUCUUCAGCUUCUCGUGCGAGCCCUCUGCCAGAUUUUCUCAAGAGAUGCAGCAGUUCUUGGGAUCUCAUCUGUGCGGAGGUGCAGACCAUCCCUCUUUGUGACUCAUCAAUAAUUCAGCUGGCAGUGGCACAGGCGAUCAUCCUCUGCUCUGACUCUGAGCCUGAUCGUCAAGCUUCAGUCACGUAUCCAGUUGUGUAUUUUCUCAAAUGAUGUAAUGCUGCAAAUAGCCUUUGAGAAACAGAAAGGUGGACAAAUGCAAUGCAAAUAGGUGAAAUAUUUUGGCAUAUUUUUGAGUGAAUGAAGGAAUAAUCAGUUUUUAAUCAGUGGAUAACCUUUUCAGGAGAACACAAUCGUGGUCGAUCUACUAUGUCAUUAUGAGGUGUGUGUGUCACAGAAGUUGAUUGCCCAAGAUCUGUAUUACAAAUGAAGUCCUAGCGGUGACAUUCUUUUGUACUCUUUAUUACUAUGUUUAACCUGAAUUGACUUUGUUAAAUAUUUACAAAUAUGAGUCAUAAAGUUUCGAGCCAAAUGAGCUUGCUUGGACAAAAGUGUUUUAAAGUAAAAGAAAAAAGAAAAAAACACAGACAAAUGCCUAAAUUAGCCAUUCAUCCAUCUUCUAGCUGUUAAUUUAGUGCAGAGCUGCAGGGAAGCCAACUUAUAUGCUGCUAUAUGCUACUUUCUUUCCUUGGUUCAAUAGAGUAACUUUUCUAUUAUGAAUUGAAUGUCCAUCAGGAAGGAACCUGGACGGCUUUAUUACUGGGUAUGACUAGACAUUUUUAUUACAAUACAUCCAAUGGCCAAUACCGGA